rnacentral:rRNA from 1 species
AACGUACGCUGGCGGCACGCCUAACACAUGCAAGUCGAACGAAGUAGCAAUACUUAGUGGCAGACGGGUGAGUAACAUGUAGGUAUCUGCCCUUUGGCCUGGAAUAACACGAGGAAACUUGUGCUAAUACCGGAUAAGUCUUUACGGAGAAAGCUUUAUGCACCAUUGGAUGAGCCUGCACUUGAUUAGUUUGUUGGUGGGGUAAUGGCCUACCAAGACUGUGAUCAAUAGCUGAUUUGAGAGGAUGAUCAGCCACAUUGGGACUGAGACACGGCCCAAACUCCUACGGGAGGCAGCAGUGGGGAAUCUUGCACAAUGGAGGAAACUCUGAUGCAGCGAUGCCGCGUGAGUGAAGAAGGCCCUUGGGUCGUAAAGCUCUUUCGUCGGGGAAGAAAAUGACUGUACCCGAAUAAGAAGGUCCGGCUAACUUCGUGCCAGCAGCCGCGGUAAUACGAAGGGACCUAGCGUAGUUCGGAAUUACUGGGCUUAAAGAGUUCGUAGGUGGUUGAAAAAGUUAGUGGUGAAAUCCCAGAGCUUAACUCUGGAACUGCCAUUAAAACUUUUCAGCUAGAGUAUGAUAGAGGAAAGCAGAAUUUCUAGUGUAGAGGUGAAAUUCGUAGAUAUUAGAAAGAAUACCAAUUGCGAAGGCAGCUUUCUGGAUCAUUACUGACACUGAGGAACGAAAGCAUGGGUAGCGAAGAGGAUUAGAUACCCUCGUAGUCCAUGCCGUAAACGAUGUGUGUUAGACGUUGGAAAUUUAUUUUCAGUGUCGCAGGGAAACCGAUAAACACACCGCCUGGGGAGUACGACCGCAAGGUUAAAACUCAAAUGAAUUGGCGGGGACCCGCACAAGUAGUGGAGCAUGUGGUUUAAUUCGAAGAUACGCGCAGAACCUUACCAACACUUGACAUGUUCGUCGCGACUCUAAGAGAUUAGAGUUUUCGGUUCGGCCGGACGAAACACAGGUGCUGCAUGGCUGUCGUCAGCUCGUGUCGUGAGAUGUUGGGUUAAGUCCCGCAACGAGCGCAACCCUCACUUUUAGUUGCCAUCAUUAAGUUGGGCACUCUGAAAGAACUGCCAGUGAUAAGCUGGAGGAAGGUGGGGAUGACGUCAAGUCCUCAUGGCCCUUACGUGUUGGGCUACACACGUGCUACAAUGGUAUCUACAACAGGAAGCAAGACUGCGAAGUUAAGCAAAUCCCUAAAAGAUACCUCAGUUCGGAUUGCACUCUGCAACUCGAGUGCAUGAAGCUGGAAUUACUAGUAAUCGUGGAUCAGCGUGCCACGGUGAAUGCGUUCCCGGGUCU